rnacentral:misc_RNA from 1 species
CAGGACUCGCAAGACUCCUACAACCCUGUGAACUUAACUAUAAGCACGUUGCUUCGGCGAGUGUCUCGGCGAGGGUCCUCCCUCCCCGGGGCGCUAAGCCCGCCGGCAGCCUACUAUACCCUGUCUCUUUGCGUUGGCAUCUCGAGUACAAUCAAACAAGUUA